rnacentral:rRNA from 1 species
AUGCUUGGGCGUGGAUCUCUACUCCCAGAGCCAGCAUGGAGUCAGCUUUUGUAUGAGGAUAUUGGGGCCGUUGUCUUCCUCAAUCCUGCAAGCCAGACUUCGUCGCUGUUCCCACUCGAGGAAGGCCGACAUGUCGUCGUCUUCCUCCACAGCGGCAACAUCCUUCGACCUACAGGAGGCUUUCACUUGAUGAGUUGCCUAAAAGAAGUUCCGACACUCAGAGGUGGCAACCACACUGAGUGGAGGAAGAAAGUUGAACUGGCGUUUGUUUGUGCUGAUCUUGACUGGGUUGUGGAGAAACCACAGCCGGUCAGACCCACAGACCAAGUAAGAGAGGCUACUGAUGAUGAUGCUGCAUGGGCUAAAAAGAAAGGGGACUAUGCUCCUUUGGAGCAGUCCUACCUCAUAGAUAAUCAAAAGUGGGUCAAUGCAAAUAAAAAAUGCAUGGCUUUUAUAAAGAACACCAUUGAGAGCGCCAUUGUGGGCUCCAUUGCAGAGUGCACUUCCACAGGGGAGUUGCUCUCAAAGAUAAAGAGCCAGUUCACUGGCUCUUCAAAGAUAUAUGCCACCCAGGUGUUAGAGCAACUGGUGACAGAAAAAUACACAGGUGGUAGUCAUGGCAUAAGAGAGCACAUCCUCAGGAUGAGCAAUAUGGCAGCAAAGCUCAAACCCAUGGAUGCGGAUCUGGAGAUAAAACCAGUGCUCCUGGUCCACCUUGUCAUGGCUUCAUUGCCGAAGGAUUUUGAAGCUUUUGUUGUGAACUAUAAUAUGUCACCUGGAACAUGGGACGUUGAAAAGACAAUAGCAAUGUGUGUUCAAGAGGAGGAGAGACUCAAAGCCUCACAUGGUGGUACACUCAACUAUGUGCAGGGUCACAAAAGAAAGAAUUACAAUCUAAACAACAAAAGUUCUCCUUCAAAGCCACAAGGAAAAGUUUCUAUCAGCAUCAGCGUCAGCAACAACCUUUCUCAGUGGACAAAGACACUUGUCUCCACUGUAAGAAGACUGGGCAUUACAAGAAAGACUGCCCUGUUUGGCUAA